GGGGCCAGGGAUGAGGGAAAGGCACUCUCCUCUCCCGCCCCACGCACCGCGGGGAGGUGACUGUCCUUAUAAAUUUGGGUUGAGACAUUUUGCCCGAGCGUCUGCAAACAUUUAGACACAGAGCCGCUGCUGCGAACUGCCAGCCCAUUGUCUGCCGGUGACACUUUUCUCCGAAAGUCACUUACCAGGGGGCCAAUGUUGAUUGAGCAAAUGAACACAAAGCGCUGAAGCCGCUGGCUGCGAAUUGUGCUGCUGUUAGUUUAAACAGGCGGCACAGAAAUGCCAUUAUCCGGGUGAUGGAGGGAGCCGGGUGGAACACUCACAGCGAGAAAACUUGCCGGCAGUGACUGGCACAGCGAGAUGGAUGGAGCGCUUGGCCUUGACUGACAUGUCACCCCGGGUCCAGCUUAUUGUACCCACACUCCACUCCUUCCACAGGGGUGGGAUCCGAGGCUUCUCCCUCACAGAAUUCCCUUCACUUCCCUCCAGCAGAAUUGAACCUGUGCUGCCCGGUACUGGCACAGCCCAGACAAAGGACACACAGCCAGGGGAUCUGCUCCAGCCCUAUCCCGUACAUUCCCAGCCCUCCAUGCCUGUACAUUCCCAGCCCUCCACGUUCUGCCUGUUUAUCCCCUCUCUGCUCUGAGGGCUGGUUUAUACCUUCUGUGGUUGGUGUGCAGGCCAGCAGAGCUGGCUGGUCAGAGGAGCUUGCUGGGCUCUUGCAGAGCUGGAGUUCCAGCUCAAGUGUGGCUGUGGGGAGGGCAUUGCCUUUCUGGUGUGUUAACACUGAAAAAAUUGCCUUCAAGCUCAGGAUCAAAGGGUCUCUCCUCCAAGCAGAGCACUCAAUGAAUCCUUCUGGCUGAUGGAAGGGCCUUGGCAAUGCCACAGCUUGGCCUGUGACAUGGCACAGGGGACAGGUAAGAGGUGUAGGAGAAGUCUCCAAGGUCUGACCGACUAUGCCUUUAGCGUUACCAACGUCAUGUAAGAGCAGCUCCGCCUUGGCUGUGUUUGCCACAUCCUUUUCCCAAGGCCUUUUCCAGCCUCUGCUACUACACUCACUGCCAUGUGUGCAGCAUCAUCCUUGGGCAUAGAGAUCUGUCCCCACGAGGGGUACAGACAUGACUCAGAGAGAAUGGCUGUGCCUGGGUUGGGUGAACUCUUUGGUGACAAAGUGGAAGAGGAAUGAAAGCCCUGAGCAUUCCAAAGGGUGGGGAAACAGGGAACGGAAUGAAAGAUGUGGAUGUUGUCUGAUCCAACAACAGAGAAAUGAACAUUUAAGAGAGAUGAAACACCUGAUAAAUUAACAUUCGUGUUAAAUAGGAUCUGGUCUGAUUACCAGGGCUGGGUAAUCUGUGAGUGUGAGGCGUUGCAGCUGUAGAUUGAGGUGUUUGCAGCAGCUGUGACUACCGAGCACAUUAGUUGUGACACGUCUGUUUUUAGAGCCAAACAAUACAACACAAUUGGACAAGGCUCAACACCCUGGGCUCUGAUGAUCUACAAAGACUUUGGUUGCUGCUGCUGCUCCUGCUGCCACUGCUUGGAUUGGGGGAAACAACCAGACAACUUAACUGCCCUGGGAAUAUGCAAAACCCAGUGAGAAGCACUCCCUGGCCUGAGAAACUUGCAGUCCUGUUAGACAAGACAGAUAGUGGCAGGGAGAGCAGGCAUGGGAAGAUGGGUGCUGGAGCAAGGACUAAUUAAACCAGGUACCUGCUCAGGAAGGACUCUUCAGGGCUCCAAGUCACCCACUGAAUUUUACAGCCUCUUUUGCUUGAUCAGUGAAUAUUCUGAUUUUUAUGACUUUUUUGUUCUGUGUGUUUCUGGUAAAUUGGGGGGUUUUGUUUGGGUUUUGAUGUUUGUUUCUUUUUGCUAUUUUUUUUUUCUGCAACACUAACUCAAUAACAAGUAAUUUCAAGCUGAUCUGAUGUCUGCUGUUGUAAGGUCGUUCUUUGGACACACUGUGAUCCUCCUGAGGGAUGGCUUUUUCCUGGUGUCAUCUGCAGCUCUCAGGCUGGCAUAUGCAGCUUGUGAAA